rnacentral:rRNA from 1 species
AUGCAAGUCGACGCGAACGCACCUUCGGGUGUUAGUAGAGUGGCGGACGGGUGAGUAACGCUUGGGAAUCUGCCUAGUAGUGGGGGAUAACUCGAGGAAACUCGAGCUAAUACCGCAUACGCCCUACGGGGGAAAGAUUUAUCGCUAUUAGAUGAGCCCAAGUCAGAUUAGCUAGUUGGUAGGGUAAAAGCCUACCAAGGCGACGAUCUGUAGCUGGUCUGAGAGGACGAACAGCCACACUGGGACUGAGACACGGCCCAGACUCCUACGGGAGGCAGCAGUGGGGAAUAUUGGACAAUGGGCGAAAGCCUGAUCCAGCAAUGCCGCGUGUGUGAAGAAGGCCUGCGGGUUGUAAAGCACUUUCAGUUGGGAAGAUGAUGACGUUACCAACAGAAGAAGCACCGGCUAACUCCGUGCCAGCAGCCGCGGUAAUACG